GGAGCCGUGGUGUAGUCCGGUCAACAUGCCGGCCUGUCAAGCCGGAGAUCGCGGGUUCAAGUCCCGUCGGCUCCGCCA
rnacentral:tRNA from 1 species